UGCAGCGAGCCAACGCCGAGCUCCGCCUCCACGCGCAGUCAACGAGACCAGCAGCAGCGAAUACCUCCUCUUUGGGAGUCCGGCGGCCGGAUCCGCCCUAAACCUCGGCGGAUCUACGCCUUCCUUGGCCGGAUCUGCUUCAGCGCACUCCCCUUUCCUGCAGCCGCUGCCGUCACGCACGCCGGCUUAUGGCUGCGGCCGCGGUCGCUGUCAAGCGCGCCGGCUGCGUCCUCCGGCCACUGCCGUGCUCCGCGGCCGGAGCCUCCCAAGAGCGGCCCCGUGGCUGCUGCCUCACAAGAUCCGCUCCAUCCCUCGCGGAUCCGCCCGCUAUCGCGCGCGCUGGUCUGAUUCCUGGCUUCCUCAGCGCCUUGUUCGACGUUGUGGUCUUCUUCCUCAGCGGCCUGUCUGCCGUCCGCCAUUGCUGUCCGCCCAGAACUCCUGAAUCUCAGGUGCGCCCCUCCGUUUUUUACUGGUCAUCUCUUCCUGGUCGCCCCCUUUCAUUUUGUUCCAAGAAGCAGCCUAGAGACAGUAAACGAGGAGUCCACUUUACUGCAGCAGACAAGAACAAAGGUUGAAACUAAUGGUCAGGUUGUACCUGGGCCUGAAUAUGAAAGUCCUAACCUGAAUGGCUCCAUUGGAACCUCCUCUCCUCAGGAGCACCUGACAGACCACCAAAGCAGAUUUGGGAGGUAGUACUCCCAUGCAGUUCAAGACAUUUACAGGUACUAUGAGCUACUUUCUUCAAACUUUAUUAAUCAUAUGAGUUCUUGGGCCAGAUGUAGUUGAUCCAGGCAUGCAGCUGUUAUUCAUUUUAUACUUGAAAAAUAAAAUGAACUACCAAAGGUUAUAAGACACAGAUACUCUUUCCCAUAUAUGCGCAUGAUUAUUAUUCAGUUUAGGAAAUGCUCUGGGUAAUACGACACAGAUAUUCUUUCCCAUAUAUGUGCAUGAUUACUAUUAAGUUUAGGAAGCGCUCUGUUGGUCCAGAAUUUCUGUUGAUAUGAACAAAUAUUCCUUUUCAUAUAUGUGAAUGACUAUUACCUAUUGCACAAACACAAGUAUUGGUUGUAUUAAUGGUUCCCAGCAUGUUUAAACAUUUAUAGUGCUAAGACACUACAUUAGGCCUCCAAGUAUAUUUGCUGCUCAUGCUUGCUUCACCCUUCAUUUAGUGAAACAUUGUCAGGCCCAAUUUGUUAUAGUAUAGAAAAUGUAUCUGUAGAUGCACAACUAAAACUAUAUUUUGAGGGACUGAUCAUGCGUUUUUUUACUCUGCUGAAAUAUUGGAAUGAGAUGUCCAGCAACAAAAAAAAAAUGCCCAUUGAGAUAGCUAAAAUAGCAUAAGCAAUUUUACUUCUCUUUACCAAUCUUUUCUUGCUAUGGUCAUGUAGUGAAUUGAUGUAAACACGUGCAUAUUACGUUUAUCCUCAGGGAAAUAUUUGAUAUAAACAAAAAAAAAAUUAUUUCCUUCAAGGACUGGUUCCUUUUCAGUGAUCAACACAAAAAUUGCAGGUAAGGAAUUGCUGGAUUCGAGCGCCAAGGUAAAUCCCCUCCGCUCCAUUCCUUCCUGGCAUUUCCUAGAAUCAAAGCAAGGAAAAAAAAAAGACUGCCAUUCUACUGUAUUUGAAAGACUUGAUGGUGUCCUGCCCCUCCUGCGCCUACAACACUAGACCUGUACCUGGCGGCCUCCAAUUUUGACUGCCCUGCCUUCUUUUCCCAUCUGGUCCGGUGUAGGCAAGGAAGGGGGCGUCUCUUGCAUCAUGGAGUAUCUGGUCCACAUUCUGUUCCUUCCCCAGCUCCUCCACAUGAUUCAGAUGUUCUCAUCAUGUGCUGCUUCUGCCCUCCCUCCAUUGCAAGGGAAAAAAUAUGCCGCUGCUUUGGCCCCGUUCCUCAUAAGUCAAAAAGGUCAAGCGCUACACAAGGGUGCAUAAAUAAGCACUGAUUAUCUCUAACAAGCAGGACAUCUCCACUCCUUCUGUGAAUUAUGAAGCCCCUUGCAGAAGUCUUUUGUUCCGUUGUAAUAACUAUAUCCAUAUUUUAGAUUUUUAUCCUAGACUAUGAAGUUGAUAGCUACUAUCUCAAUAAAUCUAAAACUCCUUGUAAAUAACUCUUAUAUUUCGUUGUGACAUAACCAGAAAAUUCUUAUUUGUCCUCUAUGGCAAUAUGAGUCUACUAAAUGUACAAAUUUUAUUAUUCAGAUCGAUAAAGUUGACAUGAGCGUGCGCAAAUUUA